ACGAUCUCGGCUCACUGCAAGCUCUGCCCCCUGCGUUCAAGCCAUUCUCCUGCCUCAGCCUCCCUAGUAGCUGGGACUACAGGCACCCGCCACCAUGCCCGGCUAAAUUUUUUUUUGUAUUUUUUGUAGAGACGGGGUUUCACCGUGUUCGCCAGGAUGGUCUCGAUCUCCUGACUUCAUGAUCUGCCCACCUCGGCCUCCCAAAGUGCUGGGAUUACAGGCAUGAGCCACCGUGCCUGGCCGAUAGUGACUUUUUCACAUGAAUUUCUUUCCCCAGUGCCUAGGACUGCCUAACACAUAGCAGUUGCAUCAGUUAGGAAUUGGUUAUAUUUGUUUGUAAGUAGAAUUUGGUUGUAAGUGACAGAAAUCCUCUCCUCCCCCCAAAAAAACAUGCAGUGGCUUAAAUCAGAUAAUGAUUUUUUUUUUAAUCAUUUAGUUCAGGAGUAGAAGGUCCUGGGCUGUCCUGGUGGCUCCACAAUAUUCUCAAUGCUCCAAUUUCCUUUUAUUUCUGUUUUCACCCUUUUUACUGCUCAGUUCCACCCACAAGACUUCUUCAUUGUCCUCAGAGGGCCACUGCAGCAAUAAAAGUGGCACUCACAGUCCAGACGGUAAGAAAGCAGAAGGUGUAAAGGGAAAACAAGCCAGGUAUUUAGGAGGUGCUCCUGGAAGCCCCAACUGCAACUUCUCCUGGUGUUUCAUUUUCCUGAACUAUGUCUCAAAACCACAUCCUUCUUUAAGAACGUGGUAAUUUUUAAAUGUUUCCACUUGGAUAAACCUCCUUCUGAGAAGUGGAGCCUAACUUUUCUCCUCUUGAGUGCACACUGUACUGAGUGACUUGCUUCUAAUAAAUAGAAUGUGGCAGAAAUGAUGGUGUGUGACUUCCGAGAUUGAAUGAUAAGUGAUACUGUGACCUCUUUCUAGGAUCACUCAUUCUGGGGAAGCAAGCUGCCACGUUGUGAGGCCACACAAGCAGCCCUGUGGAGACGUUCAUACAUGCAGGAA
rnacentral:lncRNA from 1 species